UCUGCCUCGAUUCAACAAUGG
rnacentral:siRNA from 1 species